CAGUAGCCGCGGUAAUACGUAGGUGGCAAACGUUGUCCGGAUUUAUUGGGCGUAAAGCGAGCGCAGGCGGUCAAUUAAGUCUGAUGUGAAAGCCCCCGGCUCAACCGGGGAGGGUCAUUGGAAACUGGUUGACUUGAGUGCAGAAGAGGAGAGUGGAAUUCCAUGCGUAGCGGUGAAAUGCGUAGAUAUAUGGAGGAACACCAGUGGCGAAGGCGACUCUCUGGUCUGUAACUGACGCUGAGGCUCGAAAGCGUGGGUAGCAAACAGGAUUAGAUACCCCAGUAGUCCCUGUCUCUUAUAC
rnacentral:rRNA from 1 species